CUCCUACGGGAGGCAGCAGUGGGGAAUCUUGCACAAUGGGCGAAAGCCUGAUGCAGCGACGCCGCGUGGGGGAUGGAAGCUUUUCGGAGUGUAAACCCCUUUCGAACCCGGACGAAAACCUCGCAAGAGGAUUGACGGUACGGGUAUAAGAAGCCCCGGCUAACUACGUGCCAGCAGCCGCGGUAAUAC
rnacentral:rRNA from 1 species